AUCGUGGUAGCUCAGUCGGGUAAGCGCCCGCUUCUUGCGCCAGAGAUAGAUGCGGUUUCGAAUCCCGGCGUUGACA
rnacentral:tRNA from 1 species